UACAGAGGUCCCAAGCGUUGUUCGGAUUCACUGGGCGUAAAGGGUGCGUAGGUGGCCAGGUAAGUUCGGUGUGAAAGCUCGGAGCUUAACUCCGAAAUGGCAUUGAAUACUAUCUGGCUGGAGGGUCGGAGGGGAGACUGGAAUUCUCGGUGUAGCAGUGAAAUGCGUAGAUAUCGAGAGGAACACCAGUGGCGAAGGCGAGUCUCUGGAUGACUCCUGACACUGAGGCACGAAAGCUAGGGGAGCAAACAGG
rnacentral:rRNA from 1 species